rnacentral:rRNA from 1 species
GACGAACGCUGGCGGCGUGCUUAACACAUGCAAGUCGAACGAUGAAGCUGGAGCUUGCUCCGGUGGAUUAGUGGCGAACGGGUGAGUAACACGUGAGCAAUCUGCCCUUGACUCUGGGAUAACUGCGGGAAACUGUAGCUAAUACCGGAUACGAGGCUCGAAGGCAUCUUCGGGUCUGGAAAGAAUUUCGGUCAAGGAUGAGCUCGCGGCCUAUCAGCUUGUUGGUGAGGUAAUGGCUCACCAAGGCGACGACGGGUAGCCGGCCUGAGAGGGGGACCGGCCACACUGGGACGGGGACACGGCCCAGACUCCUACGGGGGGAAGCAGUGGGGAAUAUUGCACAAUGGGCGAAAGCCUGAUGCAGCAACGCCGCGUGAGGGAUGAAGGCCUUCGGGUUGUAAACCUCUUUUAGCAGGGAAGAAGCGAAAGUGACGGUACCUGCAGAAAAAGCACCGGCUAACUACGUGCCAGCCGCCGCCGUAA